rnacentral:rRNA from 1 species
AAUCUUAGACAAUGGGCGAAAGCCUGAUCUAGCCAUGCCGCGUGAGUGACGAAGGCCUUAGGGUCGUAAAGCUCUUUCGCCAGAGAUGAUAAUGACAGUAUCUGGUAAAGAAACCCCGGCUAACUCCGUGCCAGCAGCCGCGGUAAUACGGAGGGGGUUAGCGUUGUUCGGAAUUACUGGGCGUAAAGCGUACGUAGGCGGAUUGGAAAGUAGGGGGUGAAAUCCCGGGGCUCAACCCUGGAACUGCCUCCUAAACUAUCAGUCUAGAGUUCGAGAGAGGUGAGUGGAAUUCCAAGUGUAGAGGUGAAAUUCGUAGAUAUUUGGAGGAACACCAGUGGCGAAGGCGGCUCACUGGCUCGAUACUGACGCUGAGGUACGAAAGUGUGGGGAGCAAACAGGAUUAGAUACCCUGGUAGUCCACACCGUA